rnacentral:rRNA from 1 species
GUCGAGCGGUAGCACAGGAGAGCUUGCUCUCCGGGUGACGAGCGGCGGACGGGUGAGUAAUGUCUGGGAAACUGCCUGAUGGAGGGGGAUAACUACUGGAAACGGUAGCUAAUACCGCAUAACGUCUUCGGGCCAAAGUGGGGGACCUUCGGGCCUCAUGCCAUCAGAUGUGCCCAGAUGGGAUUAGCUAGUAGGUGGGGUAAUGGCUCACCUAGGCGACGAUCCCUAGCUGGUCUGAGAGGAUGACCAGCCACACUGGAACUGAGACACGGUCCAGACUCCUACGGGAGGCAGCAGUGGGGAAUAUUGCACAAUGGGCGCAAGCCUGAUGCAGCCAUGCCGCGUGUGUGAAGAAGGCCUUCGGGUUGUAAAGCACUUUCAGCGAGGAGGAAGGGUUCAGUGUUAAUAGCACUGUGCAUUGACGUUACUCGCAGAAGAAGCACCGGCUAACUCCGUGCCAGCAGCCGCGGUAAU